GUGUCAGCCGCCGCGGUAAUACGGAGGGAGCUAGCGUUGUUCGGAAUUACUGGGCGUAAAGCGCACGUAGGCGGCUACACAAGUCAGAGGUGAAAGCCCGGGGCUCAACCCCGGAACUGCCUUUGAAACUGGGUGGCUAGAAUCUUGGAGAGGCGAGUGGAAUUCCGAGUGUAGAGGUGAAAUUCGUAGAUAUUCGGAAGAACACCAGUGGCGAAGGCGACUCGCUGGACAAGUAUUGACGCUGAGGUGCGAAAGCGUGGGGAGCAAACAGGAUUAGAAACCCCCGUAGUCC
rnacentral:rRNA from 1 species